UUUUUAUUUUUUUUUAUUUUUCUCAACUGUUCUUGGUUAGGUUACUAUAGUUCAGCAAGUACCGUUAUGAUAAUUUAUGAUAUUCUUAACUUCUGACGGCAUAAAUAGUGGGUAGUAUCAAUGUAGAAAUGCUGUGCUGAGUGGUUAUAUUACUACCUUAAAAAAAUAAGCAGAAACUCGACGUUUCGAGCGAAGGCCCUUCGUCAAGAGUUACAAAUAUAAUAUUUUCACGUUGUAUAAUACUACAAUCUUGGCAAAAGUUCCGUGGACACUGAGAGGUGUAAACUAAAGUAUUACUAUCGGUGUACACUUUUGUUAUGUUUUAUUUCCUACAAUGUUGGUCUUGACAUGCAUUUCGCAAACCUUUCACCUAACCAAUGUACAAGCUUUCGACAUUGAACCGGGGGGGAGGAGGGGGGAAGCUAAACAUUGCUGUUUUGCACGUAUAUAUUGGUCAAGGAUUGUAUUUCUAUUUCAGCACGCGCUGUCCACAAUAAUUUUUGCCGCAGGGUUGUAGUUCCACCGUACAUGCAGCUUAGAUAUCUUAUAUACACUAGAGCCGUGAUUGCAGACUCAGGAUAUUCACAUGAAAUGAGAAGACUCGUAUGUUUUCUAUUUCUUAAACAGGGAACUUAAACAUUAAGUUAAAC